rnacentral:rRNA from 1 species
UACGUAGGGCGCAAGCGUUGUCCGGAAUUAUUGGGCGUAAAGAGCUCGUAGGCGGUCUGUCGCGUCCGUUGUGAAAACUCGAGGCUCAACCUCGGGCUUGCAGUGGAUACGGGCAGACUAGAGUGCGGUAGGGGAGACUGGAAUUCCUGGUGUAGCGGUGGAAUGCGCAGAUAUCAGGAGGAACACCGAUGGCGAAGGCAGGUCUCUGGGCAUUACCUGACGCUGAGGAGCGAAAGUGUGGGGAGCGAACAGG